CAGGUUGCCUCCUUCGGAUAAUCACUUUUCCUACUGCUGCUCCUUCAAAUAAGCAUCAGGCAACAGACCCGUCCUCUUAAAACGAAGAUUCAGAAAACGUUCCUUACGCAAAAGCAUGAAGAGCCUAACAAGAGGAAGAUUUUCUGAUGCAGGAAAGGAAAAUAAAGAAGAUAGCAGCACAAGAGACAGAAAAAUACCUCAAAAAACCCAAUCCUUCAGAGAUGAAACUCCAAUUACAAGUUCAAAUGCUACAGAUGUCAA